rnacentral:rRNA from 1 species
AUUGAACGCUGGCGGCAGGCCUAACACAUGCAAGUCGAGCGGAGGUAGCAAUACCUUAGCGGCGGACGGGUGAGGAAUGUAUCGGAACGUGCCGAGUAGUGGGGGAUAACACAGGGAAACUUGUGCUAAUACCGCAUACGCCCUGAGGGGGAAAGUGGGGGACCGCAAGGCCUCACGCUAUUCGAGCGGCCGGUACCCGAUUAGCUAGUUGGUGAGGUACGAGCUCACCAAGGCGACGAUCGGGAGCUGGUCUUAGAGGACGAUCAGCCACACUGGAACGGGGACACGGUACAGGCGCCUACGGGACGCAGCAGGGGGGAAUACUGGACGAUGGGGGCAACCCGGAUCCAGCCAUGCCGAGUGAGUGAAGAAGGCCUUCGUGUUGUAAAGCUCUUUGAGCGGGGAGGAAGGUCAUGCGGUUAAUAACCGUGUGAAUUGACGUUAGCUGCAGAACAAGCACCGGCUAACUCUGUGCCAGCAGCCGCGGUAA